AGUGAACGCUGGCGGUAGGCCUAACACAUGCAAGUCGAACGGCAGCACAGUAAGAGCUUGCUCUUACGGGUGGCGAGUGGCGGACGGGUGAGGAAUACAUCGGAAUCUACUUUUUCGUGGGGGAUAACGUAGGGAAACUUACGCUAAUACCGCAUACGACCUACGGGUGAAAGCAGGGGAUCUUCGGACCUUGCGCGAUUGAAUGAGCCGAUGUCGGAUUAGCUAGUUGGCGGGGUAAAGGCCCACCAAGGCGACGAUCCGUAGCUGGUCUGAGAGGAUGAUCAGCCACACUGGAACUGAGACACGGUCCAGACUCCUACGGGAGGCAGCAGUGGGGAAUAUUGGACAAUGGGCCCAAGCCUGAUCCAGCCAUACCGCGUGGGUGAAGAAGGCCUUCGGGUUGUAAAGCCCUUUUGUUGGGAAAGAAAAGCAGCAGGUUAAUACCCCGCUGUUCUGACGGUACCCAAGGAAUAAGCACCGGCUAACUUCGUG
rnacentral:rRNA from 1 species